rnacentral:rRNA from 1 species
CAAGGAAUUUUCGGCAAUGGGCGCAAGCCUGACCGAGCAACGCCGCGUGGAGGAUGACGGCUUUCGGGUUGUAAACUCCUUUUGGGUGGGACGAUAAUGACGGUACCAUCCGAAUCAGACCCGGCUAACUACGUGCCAGCAGCCGCGGUAAUACGUAGGGGUCGAGCGUUGUCCGGACUUACUGGGCGUAAAGCGUGGGUAGGUGGCCACUGAUGUGCCGUGUGAAAGCGCCGCGCUUCUCGCGGCGAGGUCGCGGUAGACACAGUGGCUCGAGGCACGGAGAGGGGCGUAGAAUUCCCGGUGUAGUGGUGAAAUGCGUAGAUAUCGGGAGGAAUACCAGUGGCGCAAGCGGCGCCCUGGCCGUGACCUGACACUGAGCCACGACGGCGUGGGGAGCAAACG